GAUGAACGCUAGCGGCAGGCUUAACACAUGCAAGUCGAGGGGUAUAGUUCUUCGGAGCUAGAGACCGGCGCACGGGUGCGUAACGCGUAUGCAAUCUACCUUUUGCAGAGGGAUGGCCCAGAGAAAUUUGGAUUAAUACCUCAUGGUAUGUGAGAAUGGCAUCAUUUUCACAUUAAAGUCACAACGGCAAAAGAUGAGCAUGCGUCCCAUUAGCCAGUUGGUAAGGUAACGGCUUACCAAGGCAACGAUGGGUAGGGGUCCUGAGAGGGAGAUCCCCCACACUGGUACUGAGACACGGACCAGACUCCUACGGGAGGCAGCAGUGAGGAAUAUUGGACAAUGGGCGCAAGCCUGAUCCAGCCAUGCCGCGUGCAGGAUGACGGUCCUAUGGAUUGUAAACUGCUUUUGUACAGGAAGAAACACUGGUUCGUGAACCAGCUUGACGGUACUGUAAGAAUAAGGAUCGGCUAACUCCGUGCCAGCAGCCGCCGUAACAC
rnacentral:rRNA from 1 species